rnacentral:lncRNA from 1 species
GGGCUCGGGGCUGUAGCCGAGGGUUCCGCCGGCGCCCGCCCGCCCUCUCGGUAGACCCUCGCCCGCGCGUCCCGGCGCGCCGCCACAGACCUGCGGCCUCAGCCGUCCUCACGCGCGGCUCCGGGAGGGGAAGGAGGCCGACGGGGCUAGGCGGGAACGGGGCCGCGCCACGGGCCGCAGCGCGCCGCGGGUACAAGGAGGGCAGAACCGCCGCGGAGCUUUGUGGAAAUGAGGGGCUGGGGGGCGUCAACAGCCCCGGGGAGGGGGCGCGCCGGAGAGGCCGGGCGGCUGCCCCCGCGCCCAUAGGCCCCGGGAGCUGUUCGUCAACACUAGGCCCCGCCUCCUCCCGCGGUUCCCCGCCUCGUCUCGUGCUGCGCUGGCCGGAAGGAAGCGGCACACUUCCGCUUGCCUGGUCCGCAUUGAGUCCGGUCUGUUCCGGAGACUCUGAGCGCGGCCGCGGAGCUGCAGUGGCGGGGAGUGGGGUGCGGAUCUUGUGUUUGCGCACGCAGUCGCCGGCCACCUCAGGCCGGAGCUAGAGAUACGGCUCGGGAUAGGAGGGCCCGGCGGCUCUGAGGCAGGUUCGCCUCGAGCCGCACGGCCCGGAGCAGCGGCUCCGCGGUGGUCCCCGGGGCUUGAGAGGGGUGCGGGCCUGGGAGCCCCUGAGGGCCUGAUUUACGGAACUCCCCCUCCUUCCUCCUUUCUGCCGUUCCCUGCUCUGUGGCGGAUGCGCAGGGAUCAGUAGGGACGGCAGCAGUAGGGCCACUCGGGCCUGCCCCGCUUCCCGCAUUGCCCGGUUUGGCGCGCCGCCUCCGGGCCUUGGCAAAGCCCCAGCGCCCGAUUGUCACUGACCAGUGCUUGGAAGUCCUUUACCGACUGCCCGUCAGCGUCCCGCGGAGAGGAUUUUGCGUCUCCAAAGACGCCCCUCUUCCGAAAACAGGCUCCUCUGUGUUCUCAGUCGGGUAUAUUUUUCUGUCUCCAAACUAGAUUGGCAGCCGUUUUUUGAGAGCAGGUACUGACUGUGCUUUAUUUCUAGAUACUUUUCUUAGUCACACCACGGAAAACACUAGGUGGAACCUUUUUUAAAAUUAUUUUUUACAGGUGAGGCUCUCAGUCUGUCGCCCAGGCUGGAGUGCAGUGGUGCUAUCACGGCUCACUGCAACCUCGGCCUCCUGGGCGCAAGCGAUCCUCCCGCCUCAGCCUCCGGAGUAGCUGGGACCACAGGCUCGCACUACUAUGCCCAGCUAAUUUUUAAAUUUUUCGUAGAGAUGGGGGUCUUGCUUUGUCGUCCAGGCUGGAGUGCAGUGGUGUGAUCGUAGCUCACUGCAACCUUAGUCCCCUGUGCCCAAGUGACCCUGCUUCCUCAGCCUCCUGAGUAGCUGAGAUUCAUUUUAAUUUUUAUAGUGAUGGGGUCUCGUUGUGUUGACCAGUCUGGUCUAAAACUCCUGAGUUCAAGCAGGCCUCCUGCCUCAGCUUCUCAAAAUGUUGGGAUUACAGGCUUUAGCCACUGCAGCGGGCCCAUCAAACGUUGUAUUUGUCAGUACAUAAUUUACAUGUUAAUUGAUUUUUGUUAAAGGGAUGGCCAUCUGGGACCUCCACCCGUGAAAAGGCGGCUCAUUGGUCUGACUCCAACACUAAAUUACGCCAUCCAGGAAGCCUUUCCUAGUCACCUCUGUUGGAGAUCGUCCUCCUUUGUGUGUCGGUUGUUAGUAAAGAGCACACGUUCUGUGGAAAGAUGUUGAGGUAUCUGCUGGAUGGCUUUGAUAGAAACAAAUGUCAGCUGUUUUUUCAGAUGGCAUUUGUCUUGUUUCAGCCUGGUUGUUGGUAGCUUUUCUGUCGCCUGGCUUGAGGGCAAGGACUGUAUGUUUAUUUUUCACGUUAAGAUGCCUUUAUGUGCAUGUGUCUGUUUCAUGAAUACAUAGGUGAAUUGAGUUCCCCUUAAAUAGGAUUUCCCUCUUAUUUUAUAGGUUUUUUUUUUUCUCUCAAGUUGUUUCACUCUGGGGGAAAUGUGACCAUUGUGAAAUAUCAUCGCUUAGUUAAAAAGAAAGUAGAAUUCAGCAGUAGCUGCUUUUUUUAAUACUAUGAAAAGACAUUCCUAAGCAAGAUGAAGCUUUGAGACUUUUCCUAAGUAGGACCUACUGCUGAGAGUAAGUCUUGGGGAGAAUAAGCCAAUUAAGAAUGAGUCUUUGGUUCUGAUAAAGUAACCAUGGAGGUGAUGGAUAAUGAGUGUAGGUCCUUGCUCACACUUCUGGCCAUAUGAGCCCGGAGCCAGGGAGGUACUAUAAAAGGAAUGGGCUCCUGUAAUGGACUGUGACUGCAGUGGUGGUAUAUAGCAAGACUUCCGGUUUGCAGUAGGUUUAGAAGCCUAAAUAGUCUCCCUGGUUGUCUCUGCCAGGGCCACAAAUAGUUGUGCUGUGCAUCUCAAAAGUGUGGUCUGGGGAUCUGCAGCGUCACUGUCACCAUCACUUGGGAGGUUGUUAAGAAAUGCAUGUUAUCAGGCCCUACCCCACGCCUACUCAAUUUAGAAUCUGUAGGGCUAGGGGACCACUAAUCUUUAAGAAGUUGAUAUGGUUAGGCUUUAUGUCCACACCCAAAUCUCAUCUUGAAUUGUAAUUCCCAUAAUCCCCACCUUUCAAGGGAGAGACCAGGUGGAGGUAAUUGAAUUAUGGAGGCAGCUUCCCCCAUGCUGUUCUCAUGAUAGUGAGUUCUCACAAGAUGUGAUGGUUUUAUAAGGGGAUCUUGCCUCUUCGCUCAGCACUUCUUCCUGCCUCCUUGUGAGGAAAGUGCCUUGCUUCCCCCUUUGCCUUCUGCCAUGUUUGUAAGUUUUCUGAGGCUUCCCCAGCCAUGCUGAACUGUGAGUCAAUUAAACUUCUUUCCUUUAUAAAUUACCCAGUCUUGGGCAUUCUUUGUAGCAGUAUCCUUUAUAGCAGUAUGUAUAGCUGUAUGGACUAGUACAGAAGUUUUCCAGAUAAUUCUGUGCUCGGAAAAGUUUGGGAACCACAGCAGAACCUUGUUACUCAACAUGUGGUCUGUGGGCUGUGCAGCAUGGGCAUCACCUGGGGUCUUCUGAGAAAAGCCAGGUCUCAGGUCCUACCCAAGACCUGUGUAGCCAAAAUCUGCAUUUUAAUAUGACCCCCAGGUCAUUUAUGUGUACAUCACACUUUGAGAAGCACUGCACCAGAAAUCUUUUAACACUGUUCAUUACAUCCAUCCCAUGGAAGUAUCUUGUCUUGGGAUCCCGAGGGUGUGAGUUCUUCCGUCUUACUGGCUUUUUCCUGUCUGAUACAUGAUGUCCAUUUUAAAAAUUUUAUUUAUUUUAACUUUUUGAGGUAGAGUCUAACUUUGUCACCCAGGCUGGUGUGCAGUGGGGUGAUUUCGGCUCACUGCAACCUCCGUCUCCCGGAUUGAAACGAUUCUCCUGUCUCAGCCUCCUGAGUAGCUGGCAUCACGUGCUGGCCACCACGCCCGGUUAAUUUUUGUAUGUUUAGUAGAGACAGAGCUUCACCAUGUUGGCCAGGCUGGUCUCAAACUUCUGAUCUCAAGUCAUCCACCUGCCUUGGCCUCCCAAAGUGCUGGGAUUACAGGUGUCCUCCACUGCGCCCAGCCCAGUGUUCAUUUUUCAAUUGUUUGACUUAGUAUAAACACUCUCCAUCAUUCCUGCCUUCUGUGACAACAGACUGUGCGUGUUUCCUCUGUCUACCUUUCAGGCAUUCCUUUUAAGUUUCAUGCAGCUACUCCUCCUCCCUCCUCCCUUCUCUUUCUCUUCUUUCUUCUUUUCUUCUUUCUUCCUCUUCCUUCUUCUUCCUCUUCCUCCUGUUCUUCCUCCUCCUCCUCUCUUCUUUCUUCUUCUCCUCCCUUCUCCCUUUUUGGAAAGAGGACUUACUGUGUCAUCCAGCCUAGAGUGCAGUGGCUGAAUCAUGGCUCAGUGCAGCCUUGCUCUCAAAGGCUCAAGCAAUCCUCCCAUCUCAUCUUCCAGAAUAGCUAGGUUACAGGCAUGCACCACCAUGCCUGACUAAUUUUUUAAAAAUUUUUUUGUAAAGAUUGGGGGUGGCAGGGGGUCUCUCUGUUGCCCAGGCUGGUCUCAAACUCCUGGGCUGCAGCGAUCCUCUUGCCUCAGCCUUCCAAAUUGUUGGGAUUACAGGCAUGAGCCACCAUGCCUGGCCUCCUCUUCCUCUUAAAAAUCAAUGAUUCUGUGGCCCGUGGAUCUGAUUUCCACUGAUACUCUGAUAACUCCUGUUUUUAUGUCCAGGUGUAUCUCCUGGUCUCCAGGUGCCAUAUGUCCACUGCCUAUUGGACAUUUCCAUGUGUGUAAACACCUCAAACUCAACAUGUUAAACCUUUUUCUAAUCCCCACACUUGCGGUUCCUUCUGUGUGCUCCAUUUACCUUAUUGCUCAAAUCAAGAGCCUAGAAGCCAUCCUUGAUUCCUCUCUAUUGUGUAAUCCACACAUCCAAUCAUCCAUUGAGUCCUGUUGGCAUUUAUCUCGUAAAUACCUCAGAUCUUGUUCACUUUGCUCAUCUCUGUUGCCACCACCGUAGUCCAUUUACCUGUAUGUAAUAACCAUAGUGAUCUUACUAAAAUAUAAAUCCCUUGGAGGCGUUUUGGCUUUAUUAUAAAAAUUAAGCUCCAUGACACAGCUUGUAAGGACUGCCACGAAUCAGGCUCUGUUUCCCUCUUCAACCUCUCCUUCACUUUCUAUUCACAUAAACCUCUGUCAGAGGUUUGUCACGUGGCUUAUAAAAAGUCUUAAACCCUCUUUAAUUGACUAGGUACUCUUCAGCCUUUAGACCUCAGCUUACACGAUCUGUGCUGCCUCAUGUUUAUCCUCAUACAGUAUCCGGUUCCACAGAAUCAUGGUUUUUCUUUGUGAACAACAGAAUACCGUGGAAGUGACAGUGUGGGACUUCUGAGGCUAAGUCAUAAAAGACAUCCCAGUUUCAGCCUUAGCCUCUCUUGGAUUGCUCACUUAGCGGGGAUGCCAGCCACCAUGUAGUGAGGACACUCAAACUGCCUGUAGAGAAGGCCACGUAGGCAACAGCCUGCACCACCUUGGCAGCCAUGGGAGUGAGCCAUCUUGGAAGUAUUAGGUUGGUGGGACAUUAAAAGUAAUGGCAAAAACCAAGAUUACUUUUGCACCAACCUAAUAGAUCGGCCAGCUACAGGUCAGCCUUCAGAUGGCGGCAUAAGAGAUCUUGGGCCAGAAGUGCCCAUCUAUGCCACUCCCAAGUAUUUGACACACAGAGACUAUGAGGAUAAUAAAUGUACAUUGUUUUUUUAAGCCACUAAGUUUUGGGGGUAAUUUUGUACAAUGAUAGAUAACCAAUACAAUAUCCACCGUAUGUAUGUGUUACGAUUUAUUUAUUCCCAUCUAGUUGGACAUCUAGGUUGUUUCUAGUUUUAUGCUAUUUCAGGGAAUGCUGUAAGAACAUACUUAUAUUUAUGUAACUCUUUAGGAUGUAUUUCUGGAAACAGGGUUGUUGGAAUUCAUAUUCUUUUUUUUUUUUUUGAGACAGAGUCUCACUCUGUCGCCCAAGCUAGAGUGCAGUGGCGCAAUCUUGUCUCACUGCAACCUCUGCCUCCCAGGUUCAAGCGAUUCUCCUGCCUCAGCCUCCUGAGAAGCUUGGAUUACAGGCACCCGCCAUCAUGCCGGGCUAAUUUUUGUCUUUUUAGUAGAGAUGGGAUUUCACCAUGUUGGCUAGGCUGGUCUUGAACUCCUGACCUCAAGUGAUCCACCCGCCUCGGCCUCCCAAAGUGCUGGGAUUACAGUUGUGAGCCACCAUGCCCAGCCCUAGAACUCAUAUUCUAAAUUGUGAUAAACAUUGGUAAACUACAUUCCAAAAAGGUUAAAGAUUCUAUUGUUUUUCUCUUCCACCAGUGGGUAUUAUGACACUUAUUUCUCCAUGCCAUUGCCAACAAUUAGUUUUUAAAUCUUUGCCAAUCUUAGGUGACAAAUAAUACAUGAUUAGUGUGCAUUCUUUAUUAAUGAGGUGAAGACAAUAUAUCAGGAGUUUAUUGGCUAUUUGCAUUUCUUUUGUAUAAUUUGUCUUUUUGUGUUCUUUCACCAUCUAUUUAAUCUUGCUGUGACGGGAUUAUUUAUAGAUUAUGAGUUUUUUUUGUUUUUGUUUUCGAGACAGGGUCUUGCUCUGUUGCCCAGACUGGAGUGCAGUGGCGCCAUCUCAGCUGACUGCAGAUUCAACCUUCUGAGCUCACGAAAUCCUCCCAUCUCAACCUCCUGAGUAGCUGGGACCACAGGUGUGUGCCUGGCUAAUUUAAAACAAUUUUUUGUAGAGAUGGGGUUUUGCCAUGUUGCCCAGGCUAGUCUUGAACCCCUGAGCUCAAGGAAUCUGCCCACCUCGGCCUCCCAAAGUGCUGGGAUUACAGGUGUGAGCCACUGCGCCUGGCCGAUUAUGGGUAUUUAUUAAUCUGUUGUCAUAUAUGCUGCAGAUAGUUUCUCAUUAUUGUGUAUCUGGUAUGAUGUCUUUUGCUAUGCAGGGAUUUUCCAUUUUUAUAUUGUCAAAUUUCUUUUAUACCUUCUGGGUUUUUCCAUCAUGCUUAGAAAAACCUUCCCCAUCUCAAGAUUGUAAAUGUUUUUUAAUUCUUUCUGCUAGUAUUUAAAAAUAUUAUAACUUUUUAAUAUGGUGUGGGAGAGACUUGACAAUUUUUUUUUAAAUUAGAUAGUUGAUUAUUUCACCAUCAUCCUUACUCUACUGAUUUAAAUUACCUGUACCACAUACUGAAUUCCCAUAUGUAUAUGGCUUAUUUAUAAGCUCACUCUUUUUUUUUUUUUUUUUUUCUGGAGACAGGGUCUUGCCCUGUGGCCCAGGCUGGAGUGCAGUGGCAUGAUCUCGGCUCACUGCAACUUCCACUUCCUGAGCUCAAGCAGUUCUCCCACCUCCGCCUCCCAAGUAGCUGGGACUAUAGGUGGGACUAUAGCCACCACGCCUGGCUAAUUUUUGUAUUAUAAGAUGACACUUAUGUUUAAAUGAUUUUAAAAAGUAAUUAGUCUUGAAACAGUUCUACAUGUUUUUAAUUAUUUUAUAGAAUGUUUUCAUAUUGAGAGGGCAAUUGACCCUUCAUUACACUUCUUUUAACCACAUAUUUUGGCAAUUUCUGCAUAUUUAUUUGCUCAGAUAAACUUUAUAAUCAUUUACUAAGUUCUAAAACAGAAUCCAUGGAAAUUUUUACUAGAAUUAUAUAAAGUGUUUAGAAAUGUUUGGGAGAAAUGAGAUAUUUACAAUGCUGAGUAUUCCCUUACAGAAACAUGUAUGGGGCAGUUUGGUAUACUACAUAUAUUUUUUUCCAACAGUACUUUCAUCCAAUUUAGUUGACUUUUCAAGUAUCUUGGUAAAAGUCAAUGCAAUGGUCGCCAAACUUCUUUUAUUUAUUUAUUUAUUUAUUUAUUUAUUUAUUUAUUUAUUUAUUGAGACAGGAUUUCACUCUGUUUCCCAAACUGGAGUGCAGUGGCGCGAUCUUGGCUCUCUGCAGCCUUGACCUCCUGGGUUCUAGCGAUUCUCAUGCCUCAGCCUCCUGAGUAGCUGGGACUACAGGCGUGUACCACCACACCUGACUAAUUUUUGUACUUCCAGUAGAGAUGGGGCUUCACCAUGUUGGCCAGGCUGGUCUUGAGCUCCUAGCUUCAAGUGAUCUGCCUGCCUUGGUCUCCCCAAAGUGCUGGGAUUACAGACGUGAGCCAGUGCGCCCAGCCUCCAAACUUUUAUCAGAAAAAAAUUUUGUCUUCUCUUUCUGUAUACAUAUAAACAUUUUUUUUUUUAAAUGAGGCAAGGUCUCACCAUGUUGCCUAGGCUAGUCUUGAACUUUUGAGCUCAAGUGAUCCUCCAGCCUUGGCCUACCAAAAUGUUGGGAUUACAGGCAUGAGGCACCACACCCAGCCCAUAUAAACAUAUUUUUAAGCAAAGUGACUACACGUGGAAAUCCUAGUGUUUUCUGCAUACAUUCCAUUGGAUUGUUUUACACACACUGUGUAUGACUCAUGUCAGAGACCACAGAGGUGGGGCCUGUCUAUGGCAGUCCUCUGAGAUUGGCUUGGCAUGCGUGGGUCUUAGGGAACCCAGGCCAAGUGUCAGGGAUGAGCUUCCUCUAUGCUCGCAUCAUUCCAGAGUCCCACAGUCACUGACAUCACAUUGGAUUCCUCUUUCCCUCCUUUAAAAUGUUUGUCAAUAGAUGGCUUCUCCUCUGUGAGUCUUCAUGUGGCAGGCCAGGUCUCACUAAUGCAGGCCUCCAUGACAACCGUUUCAGUACUGACUGAGUGGCGAAGUUAAAUAUUAAAAGCUGAUAGAGCCAGUGCCCUAUACAAAUGCUGGAAUGUAACAAAAGCCCACCAAGAGUUCUGCCCUGGCCUUUCCUGGGCCUUGAAGCAUGACAAGAUAAUGAGGAAUUUUCCACAGGACCCGUUUGGGAUUAUACAGGUUUUAUUGGGGGUCUGAAGAAACUCCCCAGGCCUCCACAGGCAAGUUUAUUGGGGUCUGAAGGAACUCCCCAAACCAUGAUUUAGCAGGAAACAAGAUAAGGGUAAUCACCCCAGCACCUGGACCCAUUUAGAUUAAAUAAAUUUACUGAGGCUCCAGGGGAAGGUCUUCAGGACUCAGAUCUUAGUUAGAGAUCAGAAAAAGUCGACCACUUAUGUCUGUAGAUGAAUGCACACUUACACACAGACAUAUAGCUUAGAAGGUAUAUAAGCUCUGGAACACUGUGAUUUUGAGUUGGUCUGGGGAUAAUUUCUAGGCCUUCUCCCUGUAUCCAGUUACAGAAAUAAACUCCCUCCUUUCCCAGUUCAUCUGCGUCUCAUUAUUGGGCUGUGAGAAUAAGCAGCCUGACCCUCGAUUUGGUCCGGGAACAUUCAGAAAAAGCAUUAUGAAAUAUUGUUUGUGUUUUUUCUCUUCCUUUGUUCAACUUUAUAUUAACUAGAUUUGUAGUGCUUUAAAAUAGUGAAAUUUUUAGACAGAUUAGCGUAGGUGCACAAAUCCAAGGAUUCUAUAAAAUGUAAAGUUCACAAAGUAUUUACAUAUGGAAUUUUUGUUUCAUUUUCUUUUAAAUUAUUAUUGUUACUAUUUUUGAGACAGAGUUUCUCUCUUGUCAUCCAUUGCACUCUUGUCAUCAGACCGAGUGCAAUGAUGCGAUCUCAGCUCACUGCAACCUCCAUCUCCUGAGUUCAAGUGAUCCACGUACUUUGGCCUCCCAAAUUGUUGAUAUUACAGGUGUGAGCCCCUGCACCCGGUUAAUUUUUAGUAGAGGUGGGGUUUCAGUAUGUCGCCCAGGUUGGUCUCAAACUUCUGGCCUCAAGCAAUCCUCCUGCCUUGGCAUCCCCCAGCGCUGGUAUCACAGGGGUGAGUCACUGUGUCUGGCCUCAUUUUCUUCUUUAACACCUGCUUCUCUGCUUACCUCUACUUGUCUGUACUUUCUUCAUUUCCAUGGUUACCACCUACACUUUUUUCCAUUUCCAUGGUUAGAAUAACUGUUGUGUAUUUUUGAAUGAGGACACGAAUAGGUAAGGUAUUCAGUUAAAGCAGAUGAUGAUGUUUUAUUGCAUAAGCUUUUGCCACAUGUGCUGAUUCUCUAGAUGUUAGUCCGAGAAUCAGUGUCCUUGGCUGGUCCUUCUGGUUUGUUUCCUUGGACUGCUGUAAUGUCAUUUCCUGCAAAACAGGCAUGUACACAUGUGUCCACAAAUCUCAGCAGCAGAUUUUUCCCACUAAUAGAUGCCAAGGCAUAUUGUCAGGCCUGGGACUUUUUUUUUUUUUUUUUUUUCCCUGUUGUAAGCAGGACUUUCAGCCAGAAAAGGAUGUGUUUCUAACACUCUCGAAUUCAGACAUUUUAUCAUGCCUUAAAUUAUGGCUAAUCUAGUGCAGGGCUGGAUUUUCACUAACACUUAUCAAGUGCUCCCCACAAACCUUCCUGAGUCAACUGGUGGACAGAGAUGAGCUAACCCAAAGGACUCCUUAUGCAUAAAGUCCACAGGUUUGAUUGCAACUGUCCAGGUCCAAAAGCUCUGAGAUGGAAACUAUCCCAACAGCUAGAUGGAGUCUAGCUGUACUGAGUUGAUUUUGUUGUACUUUAGUGAUUCUCCACGUGAUAGAGGUAACAAAUCCAGCCUCCUCUCACAGGUUUCUCAUCACAAUCUCUUGACCCUUUUGGAUGUUCAGUCAAGAUACCAGGAAAUGAGGUUUGAAAUAAAUAGCUUUUCCUGUAACUAUCUUCAUUAAACCAGUUCAUUUAAAUACAAGGGUGAAUUCCCUAUGGCAAUAUGACCCCCCAGUGGGAAAAAACUGGUCCCUGGGGGUUGAAAAAAAUUACUAUUUUUAUGUAUAAAGCAUAGAUGUACAGACUUGGCGCUGUGUCUCAUGCCUGUAAUCCAGCAUUUUGGGAGGCCGAGGUGGGCAGAUCACCUGUGGUCAGGAGUUAGAGACCACCCUGGUCAACAUGGCAAAACCCCGUCUCUACUAAAAAUGCAAAAAUUAUCCAGGUGUGGUGGCACGUGCCUGUAGAUGCAGCUACUCAGGAGGCUGAGGCAAGAGAGUUGCUUAAACCUGGAGGCGGAGGUUGUGGUGAGCCAAUGUCACGCCACUGCACUCCAGCCUGGGUGACAGAGCAAGACUCCGUCCCAAAAUAAAGAAAAAAGGAAAAAGCAUAGAUACACUUACAGUACCUAGAAAGAUAAACAAUACAGUACUUCUGUGUCAUGGGUGGGGAAAUUAAUUGGGAAAAAUGCCUUGAAGGGCUUAGGAGGAUGGUAAUGAAAUAAAGGUGGAAACACCGAUGUAGACUAGGGUUUGGUGGUUGGAUCCUUGCAGAAUCCUGGUGGUUUACUUUUCCCUUUAAUGUAUUUCUCUAUAUGUAAAUGGUGGGGCAGACUGGAAAUAAGAGCUGAGGGUUCAGUACUGACCCAAAAGACAGUGGCUGAAAUGAUGUUUAUUUCUGUCAUGUAAGCAGUCUGGUUCCACAAUGUCAGGGACCCAGGGUCCUUCCAACAAAAAUGUCACAGUUGUUUUUUAAAAAAUUUUUCUUUUGUGGCAAAAAAACAUAAAAUUUACCUUCUUAACCUUUUUUUUUUUUUUUUUUGAGACAAGGUCUUGCUCUGUUGCCCAGGCUGUGAUCUCGGCUCACUGAAGCCUCCAUCUCCUGGGUUCAAGCGAUUCUUGUGCCUCAGCCUCCCAAGUGUCUGAGAUUACAGGCGCCCGCCACCACAUCUGGCUAAUUUUUGUAUUUUUAGUAGUGAUGGGGUUUCACCAUGUUGGCCAGGCUGGUCUCAAACUCCUGACCUCAAGUGAUCUGCCCGCCUUGGCCUCCCAAAGUGAUGGGAUUGCCACUGCGCCUGCCUGAUCUUAACUAUUUAUAAAUGUCCAGUUCAGUGGUAUUACAUUCAUAAUGUUGUGCAACCAUCACCAGCAUAUACCUCCAAAACUCUUCAUCUUCUAAGACUGAAACUCUGUGCCCAUUAGACCACCAUACUGUUUCCACAGUGAUUGUACCAUUUUACAUUCUCACCAAUGGUGCACAAGGGUACCAGUGUCUCCACAUCUUUACCAACACUUUAUUAUUUUCUGCUUUUUUAUGUUUUGAUAGUAGUCACCCUAAUGGGUAUGAGGUGGUAUCUCAUUGCAGUUUUGAUUUCCAUUUCCUUAAUGAUUAGUGAUGUUGAGCAUCUUUCCAUGUACUUGUUGGCCAUCUGUAGAUCUUCUUUAGAGAAAUGUCUAGUCAAGUCCUUUGCCCGUUUUUGAAUUGGGUUUUGUUGUUGAGUUUUAGGAGUUCUGUCCUGUGCUUGUUCUCAUAGUCAGUGAUCAUAACAUUUACAUAACAGGUGGCAGAACAGAGAAAGAAGGGGAGGUGGAACUCCCCUUAAUUUUGAGGGCACACCCAGAAGUUUCUUUCAUUUCUUUUGGGGGUAACUUCAGCUGAUGUAUUCUAUUGUUUUAUAAAACAAAACAAUUUUAUAUUUGCAUUACAAUAUGUUUAGAGAAAAGAUAGCCAUCAAAUACAGUGAAUGUUUCAAGGACAACUGGUAUAUUUUCUCAGCCAACUUUGAACUCUGUGAUCCUAGAUUCAUUUAAUCUCUUUUUUAGAAAAAUAUUUUUUAUUUUUAUUUUUAGAGAUAGUAUCUCACUCUGUUGCCCAGGCUGGAGUGCAGUGGUGCAAUUACAGCUCAUUGUAGCCUUGACCUUCUGGGCUCAAGCAAUCUUCCCACCUCAGCCUCCUGAGUAGUUGGGGGUGUUACCUGGAAGGGCAGAGUCCUCAGCUCUUAGUCUUCCUUGGGAGAAGGAAUUUGGCCACGAGGCAGUUUAGCCAAAAAAGAGAGAAUUGAUUGAAGGAAAAUAGAGAGCAGAGAGUUUAUUUAGAGAGACAGAAUACUCUGAAAGAUGAGGCAGAGCCAGCUGUGGAGACAGAAUGAGCCAGCAGCCACCCCGAGAAUUCUGCGGUGGGUUUUAAUGAUGUCAGAUUUUUUUCUGGAAGUUCCCACCUCUGUCUUAAGUCCCUGCCUUUUUUCUUUGUCUAGUUUCCCUGCUUCUGCCUUAAGUCCCUGCCUUUAUCCCUGCCGCAUUCCCUCCCAGGCUCACGGGACCCUCUCUUACUACUAGUUGGUGGGUAUGUGUGGCCGGUGUUGGGUAUGAACUCUACCAAAUGGCUGCAUUGCUCAUUGCCGCCACCCCAGGAGGUUGUAUAGAGGUCAGAUCUAUAUUUAUUGCACCUGGUAUCUCUUAGGAAUUUCUGCUUUGCCCUCUUUCCCUCCUUAUCAGCACACAGCUAGUGACAUUCUGAGAGGUUAACUGAAGAGUGGGUGAUUACUAGGAGUCUUAAGGGGUGCUCCUUUCUGCAUAGGUAUUUACCCUCCUCCUUGCUCACACUGGACUCAUUGCCCACCCCCUCCACCAUUAGAGAUGUUAAUAAUUAGCAAAUUUUGGGUGGUCCUUGGGCAUGAGGCUUCCCAGACCUUCCUUUUCUCAGGGGCUCCCCCUCCUGCUCAUGUCUAGCUGUUUGCCUACUGUAACAGGACUACAGGCGUGUGUCACCACACCCGGCUAAUGUUUGUAUUUUUCUGUAGAGAUGGGGUUUCACCAUGUUGCCCAGGCUGGUCUUGAACUCCUGGCCUCAAGUGAUUCUCCCUCCUUGGCCUCCCAAAGUACUGCGAUUACAGGCAUGAGACACUGUGCCUGGCGUGAUAUCUUCAGAAGUUUCAUGUAUCACUACUCAUAUCCCAUGAACCAUAACUUGGUCACAUGGCUUCAUGUAGCUACAAGGAAGCCUGGGAAAUACAGCCUACCUGGGCAGCUUUGUGCCCAGCUAAAAAUUCUGUGAUCAUAGAAGAAUGGAUGUUGAGGAACAACUGGCAGUACCUGCCAUUACUCAUGUGAAAAGUACAUUCUUUUGAAGGUUAAGGUUGAUGUGUAUGGCGUCAGGCACACCAUUAGUCCCUCCCUUCCUUCCUUCCUUCCUCCCUCCCUCUCUCCCUCCCCCUUUCCCUUCCUUCCUUUCCUUCCUCCCUCCCCUUCCUCCCCUUCCUCCUUCCUUCCCUUUCUUCCUUUUCUUUCUUCUCACUCUUCUUUUCCUUUCUUCCUCCCUCCCUCCCUUUCCCUCUCUUUUUUCUUUUUCUUUUCUUUCUUCUUUCUUUUUCCUUCUUUCUUUCCCUUCCCCUCCCCUCCCCUGCCCUCCCCUCCCCUCGUCUGCCUGCCUGCCUGCCUUCCUUUCUUCCUUCCUUCCUUCCUCUCCCUCCCCCUUCUUUCCUCCCUGCCUCCCUUCCUCCCUCCUUCCUUUCCUUUUUUUUUUUCUCUUUCUCUUUCUUUUCUUUCAUGUUGCUCUAUCAACCAGGGUGGUGUGUAGUGGUGCAAUCACAGUUCACUACAGGCUCAAACGAUCCUCCCACCUCAGCCUCCCGAGUAACUGGGACUACACCAGGCUAAUUUUUUAAUUUUUAUUUUUGUAGAGAUGGGGUUUCACCAUGUUGCCCAGGCUGGUAUGGAACGCCAGGCCUCAAGCGAUCCUCCUGCCUUUGCCUCCCAAAAUGCUGGGAUUACAGUGAGCCACUGUACUUGGCCUGAUGUCUUCUUGAAUUUCAAAAACUCUUACGGUAUUUAAUACAAUGUAUAGGUGCAGCUGACUUGUCUGUUUACAGUAGAUAGGUGUUACUGUUUUAGGGUUUUAAUUAGCGAUCAUGCCCUUUGUAUCUCAUGUCCAUAUGUAUUCUUGUUAGUUUUGUAAGGUAUAACCUAGUUAGGAAUAUGGCUAUGAAGCUCUUGUUCCACUUUAUCUUUUUUGUUGAGACAGAAUCUCACGCACUCUGUUGCCCAGGUUGGAGUGCAGCGGUGCAAUCUCGGCUGACUGCAACCUCUGCCUCCUGAGUUUAAGCAAUUCUCCUGCCUCAGCCUCCCGAGUAGCUGGGAUUACAGGUGCCCACCACCAUGCCUGGCUAAUUUUUGUAUUUUUAGUAGGGAUGGGGUUUCACCAUGUUAGCCAGACUGGUCUGAAACUCCUGACCUAAAAUGAUCCACCCGCCUUGGCCUCCCAAAGUGCUGGGAUUACAGGUGUGAGCCACUGCGCCAUGCCUUGUUCCACUUUAUCUUUCAAGAGUAAGUUUCAUCGUGGAUUAUGGUUAAAGACAAGUGCUGAUUUGGUUUUCCUACCUGAUCACGAGGCCACUCGAUAGAACUAGUAAGCUAUGCCUUGGGCCUGCAGGAUGGCACCUGACUUGAAGAUAGCACCUGACUUGAAGAUGGCACCUGACUAGCAUUUGGACUGGUUUGCAGGCUGAGCACAGGGUUGCUCCAGGUGGGCCCAAAUGCUGAAGAGCCUCAUGUUAGAGUUUUUCACCUCUGCGAUGGAACUGUGGUGGACUCCAGUAUCAUCAUUCCAGGGAGGCAUAGCCGCACCAACUGUGUUCCCAGGUUUCACAUGGAGAAGGGUUUUAGAAAGUGCAGAUAGCCUUGAAACCAUUGGUUUCCUACCACUGUUUAUUUCAGCAUAACUUUUUUUGUGUGGAAUGCUAGCUCUGGAAGAGCAGAAAUAAAUACAGCUUAAGCUUUGAACCAUAUCCUGCUGUACUUUUUCUCAUAAGCUGGAAAUAGAAUUUUCUAACACCGUUUGUGGUUGGAAAUACUGAAUUUAAAUGGGACUGCAGAUAUAAACAAAAAGAACAAGAUGUGGAUUGAUGUGCCUAUUUCAGUAAAACACAGCCACAUUAUUUCUGAAAUAUGGAUACUAAAGAUGACAAGUAGAAAAAAAAUUGGAGAUGUGCACAGUUGUGACAAUAAGCCUUUAAACGUCACUAGUAGGUGCUAAUAAAAGUCCUGAAAAAUGAAUGUUUUAUUUUGUUGAGGGUCUAUUCAGGUCCAGCUUUCCAUUGUGUAUACAUUUAAGAUAACAUACUUUCUCAUUUUAAAACCAUACUUGAUUAUUACUGAUGAAUCCAUGGUAGUAACAUGGGUAAUUAUAAAUAUUCUUUUUUGUUUUUCCUUUUAACAAAGUACAAAGCUGAGAAAUCAGAAAGGUGAACUAGUUGGGUCUGAGCUCAUGGCUAAGGAUUCAUGAUUUUCUGAUUUGUGCAAAAAAAAUUUUUUUUUUGAGAUGGAAUUUCACUCUGUUGCCCAGGCUGGAAUGCAGUAGUGUGAUCUUGGCUCACUGCAACCACUGCUUCCCAGGUUCAAGCAAUCCUCCAGGCUCAGCCUCCCAAGUAGCUGGGACUACAGGCGUGUGCCACCACAACCGGCUAAUUUUUGUAUUUUUAGUAGAGAUGUGAUUUCACCAUGUUGGCCAGGCUGGUCUUGAACUCUUGACCUCAAGUCAUCUGCCCACCUCAGCCUCCCAAAGUGCUGGGAUUACAGGUGUGAGCCACUGCGUCUGGUGACAAUUUUUUUUUUAAAGAUGUUUUAAGAUGUUUUUUCCACAUUUACCUAAUAUGUAGAAUCCUUUUAAAACAAACACCCCAUUGUAGAAGUACCUGUCUUAUAUGCAUUUUUACAAAUUAUUACAGAAUGACACCUUUUCUAUCUGGAUUAAGUAACACAACUGGUGUAAAUCUGGUUUAGUUAGUUAGGGAGCAAAAAGCCACCAACACGUGAUACGAUUUUGUUAUAUGCCAGUAAGAAUUUAUAUUAGAUGCCUGACAUUAAACUUUUUAAUUCAAAAGAAAACCUUCUUACCUACAUAAUCUACUUUGGUAAGGCAAACGCUUUAAACUGAUUACCCAUUAUUGGAAAAAAAAUCAGGAGAUUAAAGAAACCAAAGCUGUCAUAAUCUUAUAAACAGUUCAAAUAAAACUAGAUACAGUAUAUUUAUUAAUGUACCACUAGAAAAAUGAGGUCUAUAGUCCCCUAGCACAGCAUGCAAACUGGAUUGUGCUGUACACAUAGGUCUCUGGAAAUGGUUUCAGCAUUUCAUGCUCCGCUGAUUUGGAUUCUGAGAUACACACCAAAACACACUACCUAAGUCAGUCUAUCGUAUGGCACCAAUUAGUAACUUCUCUAUGAAUUUACAGGGCCAAAAAUGUUCUCAUUUUACAUAUUCACUGAUUGACUUGGAAGAAAUCUAUGUAUAAGAGUAUGGACUUUUUCGUAGCUCUGCCAGUUUAAUCAACAGCUCUAGACCAAAGCCAACUACCACCUCCUCCCUACCUUUGAAGCUGGCUUUGGAGUUGCACAUGCUAUUCAUUAUAAAGAGGUGCAUUUAAGACUCUUUUCUUUAUAUCCUGGAUUAUUCAAUUCAACUGUCACCCCAGCCAAGUGGAUUAGUCACUGGGGUUACGUUGCACCAUGGUUACAUUUGCAGGCCAUGUGCUGUAGUCCCACACCACUGACAGGGUGAAGCCGUGGGGGCCAACAUCAACACCGUAAAGCUGUCAGGAGGCAAGCGAGACUUUUUAUAGCUGCAUUUUGAAUUAGUUUAUUAUUUAAUUAUGCAUUGUUAUUUCAAACUGGCUUUAAAUAUCAGCGAUGGAAUAGGUUAAAGUCAUAAAAUAUGGUUAAAAUCUGUAGACAGGUAGACUAUAAAAAUUACAAAGGAAGAAACUAAUUUAGUUAUAAAGCACUACUAUAAAAAGCUUUCUUUGUAAAAAGCCGUUUUCUUCCUGGUAGCUCUAGAGCACAAAUUAUACCAUUGUUCUAGUUCAGAGGUCUAGUCAGAAGACUUUUUCUAUCAGAUAGGUGGUAAAUUAGGUUUUGUGGGCCAUAGAGUCUCUGUCACAAUUACUCAGUGCUGCUGUUGUACCUUGAAAAUAGCCAUAUAUGAUAUGUACACACACAAAAGCAUGGCUGUGUGCCAAUAAAACUUUAUUUGCCAAAACAGGUGGCAGGUUGGCUUUGAAGAGAGGGCCCUAGUUUGCUAAUCUCUCUUCUGUACCAGCGCUGUCCAAAAGAAAUAUAAUGUAAGCCACAUAUGUAAUUUAAAACUGUUUAGUAGCUAAAGAAACAGGUAAAACUAAUUUUAAUAUUUUAUUUAAACCAAAAUAUCAUUUCAACAUGUAAUCAAUAUAAAAAACUGUUAAUACAUUUCCAUUCUUUUUGUACUAAGUCUUUGCAACUGCUAUGUAUUUUACACUUAGAUAUUAUAGUGGCUGCCACACUGGACCAUACGUUCUAGAGCUUCCAUGCUCGGAUUCUUUAAUUUGGAGGUUAGUGACACAGUUUCAGAUUGGGUUUUUCAAAGACAGGGGAUAUGAUUAUGUUGUCCCUGGGAAGCAUGGGACGAAAUAUUUGGCCUUGGUCACUUUCAACUGAGGUGACCCAGGAUUCUAGGGCACAAAUGGAUAACCAGACCCACGAUACAGUCAGAUGAUGUUAGCUUCGUCAAUGCAACAAAUAUGUCAAUAGCUGUCUGUAUAGACGACAGAGUGAUCAAGGUGUGAACAUAUCACUGUAGUUUUUGGCCUUCACUAAGGAAUGCUAAUUCCUUCGUCAAUAGCAGAACUAGUCUUUAGCACUUUGACUAUAUCAGAAUUGAAAGCAUAUAAGCGUGUCACAUUUGGAAGAGAAACUGAACUGGGUAGCAAGGAAAAAAGCUUCAAAAUUAGACUUAAUUUUUAAAAUGAUUUAAAAAGCUAAAUGCUUAUUCAGUUUAUCUUCGUGUAACAGUCUAAUGCUAGUCAGCAACAGAUUAACAAGUUAUCAAGAGUCAUCAUAACCUUCAUUUAACUCUUGGGAAGCUUUUAAUUAUUUACAACUUUCUAAGCAAUAAAGUCAUCAUUUCCAGGAAAAGAAUGAACACAACCUGUGGUUAAUAGAACUUGGAGCCAAGUUUUUUUUAACAAAAAAUUUAUUACCAAAAUACAAUAUUAAAGUCAAUACAUGACAAACUCCUGUAAAGCAAAAUAAAUUAUUCUAACAUUGUACAGUAUUUCCAAAGGUAGUUAAAGAAGCACUACAGACCUUGCCUCACUGUUCUGAACAGAUGAACUGCUCUCCCAUGAACACAGUCCUAGAGUUUCCGCUUUAAGGCAUGCAGCUUGAUGUGCAGGAUAAUUUUACAAAAUGCAAAUCAUCCUAUUUUAAUAAGAUACAGUGUCAGAAUUAACUGUAGUCUUUACAUGUCAGUAUUCCAGAAAUUUUUAUACUUUGGCUAUAGAAGCAAUGCCAUAGUGUUACACAAUACUUAUUUCUUAAAAAAAUACAUGUAUUCAUGUUCAUGAAUAUCAAACGCAAAUUUCUAUUAAAUAUAUUUUAUCGAAUAUUACUUAGAGCACCUUGCUGUACAAUUUAAAAAGAUUAAAUAAGUGUCUAUGAAAACUAAAAACACAAUAAGUCUCAACAGAGAAGCCUGCUUGUCUUUGUCAAGCCAAUUACAGCACGGGAAGGUGCAAUGUAAACAUGGAUGCCCACCAUUUACUUUGUGAGAAAAAAAACAGAAAAUUAUGAAGCCACCAGCAGCCACCUUCAAUAGGAAGAAAGAUCCAGAACAAAGGCUUCGGUCGGUGUCACAACAUUGCACUAUCUGGCCAAAGAACUUGGACUACCGAUCAAAUGGAAUAUUAGCAUGAUACUGUUGAACACUGGGACACCCGCCAUAUUCUGGAUGAUUAGAGAAAGGGAGAAAAUGAUAGAGCCCUGAAAAGUAUUCUUUAUAAUGAUCAGAAUGCAUCAUCUUCCCCCCUCCCCACCUUUGCCAUAUGUAGUUUCUUUUCAAAGCUAUUUUCACUAUCACGUCUUAGUAUUUUUUAAGUGUUCGGAGCAGAAAACAAAUACUAUGAGCUCUGUCUAAUAAGAAGUCAAUACCAAUAAAUAACAUGUUAUUCUAUGAAGGAAUUCCUACUGAAUUUUUUUUUUGGGGGGGGAGGUAAACAGAGGACCUCAUCUGUCACCCCGGUUGGAGUGCAAUGGUGCCAUCACGGCUCACUGCAAGCCUCUAUCUCCCAGGCUCAAGUGAUCCUCCCACCUUAACCUCCCAAGUAGCUGGUGCUACAGGCACGUGCCAACUAUGCCUGGCUAAUUUUUAAUUUCUUGUAGAGACAGGGUCUCCCCGUGUUGCCCAGGCUGGUCUUAAACUUCUGGACUCAAGCAGUCCUCCAGCCUUGGCCUUCUAAAGUAUUGGGAUUACAGGUGUGAGCCACUAUGCCCAGGCUACUGAUUAUUUUAAUAGCUAUCUCUUCUACAGUUAGAAUUGCAUAAUCUUCAUUAUUACUUUUAGAAAACUCAAUUGUUCUUGGUAGACACAUUGUUAACUUAAGGCUUGC